GAUGAACGCUGGCGGCGUGCCUAACACAUGCAAGUCGAGCGAUCUUCUUCGGAAGAGAGCGGCGGACGGGUGAGUAACGCGUGGGUAACCUGCCCUGUACACACGGAUAACAUACCGAAAGGUAUGCUAAUACGAGAUGAUAUGCUUUUAUCGCAUGGUAGAAGUAUCAAAGCUUUUGCGGUACAGGAUGGACCCGCGUCUGAUUAGCUAGUUGGUAAGGUAACGGCUUACCAAGGCGACGAUCAGUAGCCGACCUGAGAGGGUGAUCGGCCACAUUGGAACUGAGACACGGUCCCCACUCCUACGGGAGGCAGCAGUGGGGAAUCUUGCACAAUGGGCGAAAGCCUGAUGCAGCAACGCCGCGUGAACGAUUAAGGCCUUCGGGUCGUAAAGCUCUGUCCUCAAGGAAGAUAAUGACGGUACUUGAGGAGGAAGCCCCGGCUAACUACGUGCCAGCCGCCGCCGUAA
rnacentral:rRNA from 1 species